GACGGAGGGUGCAAGCGUUGCUCGGAAUCACUGGGCGUAAAGGGUGCGUAGGCGGUCUCGCAAGUCUGGCGUGAAAGCCCAAGGCUCAGCCUUGGAAGUGCGCUCGAAACGGCGAGGCUGGAGUGCCGGAGGGGGGUAGAAUUCCAGGUGUAGCGGUGAAAUGCGUAGAGAUCUGGAGGAAUACCGGUGGCGAAGGCGGCCCCCUGGACAAAGACUGACGCUCAGGUGCGAAAGCGUGGGGAGCAAACAGG
rnacentral:rRNA from 1 species